GCAAGUCGAACGAAGUCCUUCGGGACUUAGUGGCGCACGGGUGAGUAAUGCAUAAGUCACCUACCCAGAAGUGGGGGAUAACUACGGGAAACCGUAGCUAAUACCGCAUGUGUACGUAAGUACAAAGGGGGCUUCGGCUCUCGCUUUUGGAUGGGCUCAUGUCCCAUUAGUUUGUUGGUGAGGUAACGGCUCACCAAGACGAAGAUGGGUAGCUGGUCUGAGAGGAUGAUC
rnacentral:rRNA from 1 species